rnacentral:rRNA from 1 species
AUGACUAGGGUAUGGCGACACGUCCAACCUGUGCUCUGGCUUGGAGCAACUACUGGUUUGUGCUGGGCAGUGUGGAGGUACCACCGAUACCGCACCUGUCUACGCAGCAACAGCCGGAACAUUACUGAGCCGUCGGCUGACGAAGGUAAUGAUCCAGUGAUUGGGCGCGACAGUGAGAUCGAUCGCAUCAUCUGCAUCCUCUGCCGCCGGACCAAGAACUGUGCCGCGCUCGUCGGUGAGGCAGGGGUUGGCAAGACGGCCAUUGUUGAGGGCCUCACCCAGCGCAUCGCCAGCGGCAAAGUCCCGACCAAGCUCGCUGGAGCUCGCGUUGUGGAGGUUGACCUCGGGGCCAUGGUUGCCGAGACUGACCUCUGCGGCAUGUUUGAGCAGCGCAUCAAGGAUGUGAUAAGGAGCGCCGAGGAUGGGGACGACAAGGUGAUCCUGUUCAUCGAUGAGAUGCACAUGCUUCUUGGUGCUGGCGCCACGACUCUCAAUGAGUACCACAAGUACAUUCAGGCUGAUGCCGCACUCGAGCGGCGGUUCCAAAAGGUUCAUGUUGAGGAGCCGAGUGUUGAGGUGACCAUCGCUAUUCUGAAGGGGCUUAAACAGAGGUACCAAGACCACCAUGGCUUGGAAAUUCAGGAUGCUGCUCUUGUUGCUGCCGCACAGUUGGCUGGCCGCUAUACCACUGAUCGCCACUUUCCCGAUAAGGCAAUCGAUCUGAUUGAUGAGGCAUGCGCUGCUACAAGGAUCAUGCUUGACAGUGAAAGAGAAGCAACCGCCGCAAGGACACAGAUUUACGACAAAAAAGAACAAGAAAUUGUUGGUCCAGGUCAUGUCGCACAGGUUGUGAGCCGGUGGACUGGAAUUCCUGUCGCUGCUAUUGAUCAAGACGAGAAGGAGAAAUUGCUCCACCUUGCUGACAAAUUGCAUCAGCGAGUUGUUGGCCAGGAUGAGGCGGUCAAUUUGGUUGCGCAAGCGACAGAGCUUGCAAAAGCUCUUGCUGAGCAGCUAUUCGACAGUGAAAAGACAUUGGUUCGCUUUGACAUGUCCGAAUAUGGUUCGAUUGGAUCUGUGUUGCGCCUCAUUGGAGCACCUCCAGGCUAUCGUGGUUACGAAGACGGUGGACAACUGACUGAGAAAGUCAAGAGGCGCCCAUACAGCAUCAUCCUCUUUGAUGAGGUUGAGAAGGCACAUCCGGUGUUCAAUGUUUUUCUUCAACUCCUUGAUGAUGGUUUGUUGACUGAUGGCAAAGGCUGCACAGUAGAUUUCAAGAGCACCAUCAUCAUUAUGACCUCAAAUUUAGGAUCAAAGCACUUCGCAGCAGGAAUGGCUGGAGAAAAGACAAUACAACAGGCACGGGGCCUUAUGUUCAUGCAGGUUUGGAAACGCUUCAAGCCUGAGCUUCUUAACAGGCUGAGUGAGAUUGCGAUCGUGGAAAUCCAGAUGAAGGGCGUUGCUGCCAGAGUAGCUAAUAAGGGCAUCUCUCUACAUGCGAGUGAUGCUGCUUUGGAUAUGUAUGGUGCAAGGCCUAUUAGGAGGUGGGUGCAAAAGAAUGUGAUGACUGCGAUCUCUGAGAUGCUAGUCAAAGGAGAAGCUGGCGAAGGCUCAACGAUCUCUAUUGAUGCCACCGAUGAUAAGAAGGGACUCAAAUAUGAAGUGGUGACCGAAGGUGGCAGAUCCACCUGGCAACCUCUCCGUGCCGGCACUAGUGCCUCCUCUAGGUGA